UGUGGUUUAAUUCGAAGCAACGCGAAGAACCUUACCAGGUCUUGACAUCCCUGACAACCCGAGAGAUCGGGCGUUCCCCUUCGGGGGACAGGGUGACAGGUGGUGCAUGGUUGUCGUCAGCUCGUGUCGUGAGAUGUUGGGUUAAGUCCCGCAACGAGCGCAACCCCUAUUGUUAGUUGCCAUCAUUCAGUUUGGGCACUCUAGCGAGACUGCCGGUAAUAAACCGGAGGAAGUGGGGAUGACGUCAAAUCAUCAUGCCCCUUAUGACCUGGGCUACACACGUGCUACAAUGGUUGGUACAACGAGUUGCGAGUCGGUGACGGCGAGCUAAUCUCUUAAAGCCAAUCUCAGUUCGGAUUGUAGGCUGCAACUCGCCUACAUGAAGUCGGAAUCGCUAGUAAUCGCGGAUCAGCACGCCGGCGGUGAAUUACCGGUUCCCGGGCCUU
rnacentral:rRNA from 1 species